rnacentral:hammerhead_ribozyme from 1 species
AUCCAGAUGAAGGGUCCAAAAUAGGACGAAAUGCACAUCCUGGAU